GAUGAAGAACGCAGCGAAAUGCGAUAAGUAUUGUGAAUUGCAGAAUCCAGUGAAUCAUCGAGUCUUUGAACGCACAUUGCGCCCCCUGGUAUUCCGGGGGGCAUGCCUGUCCGAGCGUCAUUGCUGCCCUCAAGCACGGCUUGUGUGUUGGGCCCCGUCCUCCGAUCCCGGGGGACGGGCCCGAAAGGCAGCGGCGGCACCGCGUCCGGUCCUCGAGCGUAUGGGGCUUUGUCACCCGCUCUGUAGGCCCGGCCGGCGCUUGCCGAUCAACCCAAAUUUUUAUCCAGGUUGACCUCGGAUCAGGUAGGGAUACCCGCUGAACUUAAGCAUAUCAAUAAGCGGAGGA
rnacentral:misc_RNA from 1 species